UAGAGUUUGAUCAUGGCUCAGGAUGAACGCUAGCGGCAAGCUUAAUACAUGCAAGUCGAGGGGCAGCAUGAAGUAGCAAUACUUUGAUGGCGACCGGCAAACGGGUGCGGAACACGUACACAACCUUCCUUUUAGUGGGGAAUAGCCCAGAGAAAUUUGGAUUAAUACCCCGUAACAUAACGAUGUGGCAUCACAUUGUUAUUAUAGCUUCGGCGCUAGAUGAUGGGUGUGCGUAUGAUUAGAUAGUUGGCGAGGUAACGGCUCACCAAGUCUACGAUCAUUAGCUGAUGUGAGAGCAUGAUCAGCCACACGGGCACUGAGACACGGGCCCGACUCCUACGGGAGGCAGCAGUAAGGAAUAUUGGUCAAUGGACGCAAGUCUGAACCAGCUAUGCCGCGUGAAGGAUUAAGGUCCUCUGGAUUGUAAACUUCUUUUAUCUGGGACGAAAAAAGGUCUUUCUAGAUCACUUGACGGUACCAGAUGAAUAAGCACCGGCUAACUCCGUGCCAGCAGCCGCGGUAAUACGGAGGGUGCAAGCGUUAUCCGGAUUCACUGGGUUUAAAGGGUGCGUAGGCGGGCAGGUAAGUCAGUGGUGAAAUCCUGGAGCUCAACUCCAGAACUGCCAUUGAUACUAUCUGUCUUGAAUAUUGUGGAGGUAAGCGGAAUAUGUCAUGUAGCGGUGAAAUGCUUAGAUAUGACAUAGAACACCCAUUGCGAAGGCAGCUUACUACGCAUAUAUUGACGCUGAGGCACGAAAGCGUGGGGAUCAAACAGGAUUAGAUACCCUGGUAGUCCACGCCCUAAACGAUGGAUACUCGACAUACGCGAUACACUGUGUGUGUCUGAGCGAAAGCAUUAAGUAUCCCACCUGGGAAGUACGUUCGCAAGAAUGAAACUCAAAGGAAUUGGCGGGGGUCCGCACAAGCGGAGGAGUAUGUGGUUUAAUUCGAUGAUACGCGAGGGAACCUUACCUGGGCUAGAAUGCUGGGAGAC
rnacentral:rRNA from 1 species